rnacentral:rRNA from 1 species
AUUGAACGCUAGCGGGAUGCCUUACACAUGCAAGUCGAACGGAGUGGCGAACGGGUGAGUAAUGUAUCGGAACGUGCCCAGUAGCGGGGGAUAACUACGCGAAAGCGUAGCUAAUACCGCAUACUAUCGGAGGAGCCGAUAUCGGAUUGGCUAGUGGGUGGGUUAACGGCACACCAAGGCGACGAUCCGUAACUGGUUUGAGAGGACGACCAGCCAAACUGGGACUGAGACCCGGCCCAGACUCCGACGGGAGGCAGCAGUGGGGAAUUUUGGACAAUGGGGGAAACCCUGAUCAAGCCCGCCCGCGUGUUCGAUGAAGGUCUUCGGUUUGUAAAGCACUUUUGGCAGGAAGGCGGUACCUGCAGAAUAAGCACCGGCUAACUACGUGCCAGCAGCCGCGGUAAUUC